rfam:Ictidomys tridecemlineatus contig023179, whole genome shotgun sequence.
GGGGCUGUGGCUCAGUGGUAGAGCGCUUGUCUAGCAUGCGUGAGGCACUGAGUUUGAUCCUCAGCAUCACAU